AGCCUCUAAAAAGUGAAAUUUGAAAAGACAUGCUAUACCACAGUAAUUCACAGACCAGAGCUGGAGAGUACAUUUUGAACCAGAAAUUCAAGAGCAAAAUCCUCUAUAUUAGUAGCUGGAUUCUGUAGGCUUCUAAUAUUUAUUGGCACCAGCUAAAAACAUUCUCAAAACCAGGGCAAAUGAGAAAGGAGAGAGUGUUACUGUUGGUCUGUUUUCUCUACUAAACUAGUUUACAGGACGGGUAGGCUAUCAUUUAGGGUUCCUACUGAACUAUUUUAAAUGACUCUAUUAUUUGUAUAAUCAGAAAAAACAACCUUGGAAUAAAAGAUCCAACUUAUUUAUCACUCAACCUUCUCAAAGUUAUUUAUAUUUAGCAAAAUAAAAGCUAUACAUUGAAAAUAAAAUAGAACUAAAAGACCUUUUACAAAAAGUUAUCCCCUCUCUGUCCCUCCCUAUUACCUAGUCAUAUUCCAUGAAGGCAACCACUUUCAAUUUUUAACCACUUUUUUUUUCCACAUUAACCUCCAUUUUGUAAUAAAUUUGGGUACCCUGCAAAUUUUAAAAUUUACAAAUUUUACAAAUUUUAAACUUUUUACAAAUUUACAACAUUUACAAAUUUUAAACUUUUGCACUGAGUUCUUAUCAUGGAGAAUAAGCACUUGCUGCUCCUGCACAGCUAUUUACAAUCUUUGGUUGAAUCCAUAGUAAUAUUUUAAUUUUCUAUUUUUUUAGACAAGGUCUCACUCUGUCACCGAGGCUGGAGUGCAGUGGCAUAAUCUCAGCUCACUGCAACCUCUACCACCUGGGUUCAAGCAAUUCUCCUGCCUCAGCCUUCUGAGUAGCUGGGACUACAGGCACGUGCCACCACACCCUGCUAAUUUUUGUAUUUUCAGUAGAGAUGGGGUUCUGCCAUGUUGGCCAGGCUGGUCCUAACUCCUAGCCUUAAGUGAUCUGCCCACAUUGGCCUCAAAAAGUGCUGGGAUUGUAGGCACAAGCCACCACCUCUACCCCGUAGUAAUAUUUCUAUUUUAAGUAAUAUUUCUAUUAUUAAGACUAUGUAAACAUAAUGCUCUUUGAUCAUGUUUCCUUUCUUAUUAACCUUUUUGCCUUUCCUGGAAUUAGUAAUUGUCUUAUUUUUUCAUCUGCUUUGUUUCCUAUAUGCUUAACAUUAUUUUUUCUCCAAAUGCUCUAAUGGAUCUGGUCAAAAUCUUUCAACAUUUUCAGGCUACUUGUCUGACUCAUUUUUAUUUCUUCCUGGAAAACUUCCCAUCCAGAGCACUGCAUCAUUCUGCUGUAAUACCAACUGGCUGCUCCAUAGGCCAGAUGAAUGUCUCUUCUCCUGGGACAUCUCUCUGUCGCUUCCAUAGUACAUUCCCUGUUUCCUCCAUCUAUCACUUCCUCUUUCUUAUUAGUUUCCUUUACUGGAGCAUAACCACUAGUGCGUGCAGAGUAAAUUUUCUGAGCCCUUGUAUGAGUCUUUAAUUCUACAUUCAUACUUCUAAACAGUUUACCUAGACAUAAGAGCUCUAUUUCCAAAAGCAUUUUGGAAAUAGGCACACACCACCACUCUUCUAUUUGGAAAUACAACUCUAUGUUCUAUUUCCAUUGAUGACUUCCUCUUUCUUAUUAGUUUCCUUGGCUGGAACAUAACCACUAGGGCAUGAAGAGUACAUUUUUCAGCCUUUGUAUGAGUCUUUACUUCUACUUUCAUACUUUUAAACAGUUUACCUAGACAUAGAGUUCUAGUUCCAAAAGCAUUUUUCCUUAGAAUUCCAAAGGCCAAAGGCCUUUCUUCACAGUCUUUUAGUUUUCAGUGUUGCUAGAGAGAAGAUCUUUUCAUUCCUGAUACUUUAUAUAUUUGGCUUACUUUUUUCUCUUUCCAGAAGCUCCUAGGGUAUGAUACGUUCGGAAGUGAUUCUUAAUCCAUUAUACCCUUUCAAUCUGGAGAUUACAUCAUUUAGUUCUUGGAAAGUUCCAUUUCCCCCAUUUUCUCUGUCCUUUCUUUUUGGAACUCUUAUUGUCAAAAAUUGGACAUCCUUGAUUUAGCUUCAGAUUUUCUUAUCUUUUGCUCCUAUUUUCUAUUUUUGUCUUUUUAUCCUACUUUCUGAGACUUUAUCUUUAAUUUUCAAGGAGUCUUUCUUGUUCUGUCCCUUUUUCAUAACAUCUUGUUCUCUUAUGGACUUCUACUCUCUAAGAAUACUAAAUACCAAUAUUAAACACUAAAAACGGUCGCUUUUUUCCUCAACAUUAUCUUUGUUUUAUUCAUAUUCUGUUUCAUUUUUUUCUUGUUUGAAUUGCCUCUCUUUAUUUAUUUAUUUAUUUUGAGACAGAGUCCACUGUCGCCCAAACUAGAGCAUAGUGGCAUGAUCUCAGCUCACUGCAACCUCCACCUCCCCAGUUCAACUGAUUCUCCUGCCUCAUCCUCCAUAGUAGCUGGGAUUACGAGUACCUGCCACCAUGCCCGGCUAAUUUUUGUAUUUUUAGUAGAGACAGGGUUUCACCAUGUUAGCCAGGCUGGUCUUGAACUCCUGACCUCAGAUGAUUCACCUGCCUCAGCCUCCCAAAGUGCUGGGAUUUACAGACGUGAGCCACCGCACCCAGCUGCCUCUCUUUUGUACUAGAGGCUUUCUUCAAAUGCCUGCUGACCUUUGGUUGUCCAUUCAUAAAUUGACUAGUCCAUUAAAAAGUUGACUGAAAGCUCUGUGUUUGUGGAUGUGGUUUGUUCGCUAAUGGACUUCAUAGCAGGAUGAUUGGUUGGGGACCUGAUCACUUUGUUAGAAAACCCCCGAUGUGAUUACCUUGCCUUUCCACUGAGUUCAGAUUGGCAGGUGCACUACAAGUCAUACACAUGGUGGAAACUGGAUCCUGGGAGUGAGGAGACCCAGACGCUGGUUCAAGAGUACUUUUCCUGGGAGGGGGCCUUCCAACAUGUGGGCAAAGCCUUCAAUCAGGAAAGAUCUUCAAGUGAAUGUCUCUUGCCAUCACCUAACUGCCUGCACCUGCUCUUCAGGGAGAUGGGGGUCAUUUAUCUAGAGCUUUCAGCUUCUCCAGAGGUAAAUCUGUAUCUGCUACCAGUGUUCUUGGAACCAAGUUGGUUUAGAGAUCUGACUCCAUGCCACCAGUAGGUUUUCUUCAGUCUCUCUCUGUUCAGUAAAAUGUUUCAUGGCUUCCUUUGCUGGGCCUGGUACACCCAAGUGUAGAGCCUCUCUGGUUCAAUGCUAUGAGAAAAACUUCCUAUUCCUUAUGAUGGUAGAAUAAGAAUACAUGCUGGCUCUAUGAUUAGGGGUUUGAAUCUGAGGAUUAUAUAGGUUUCCAAAGAAUCGUCCUGUUUUCUGCUCAUUGCCCCACCUACACUUAGUUCCUCCAAUUGCUGAAUCUUUCCAGGAUUCUGUGGGGUAAAUAGGCUUGCCUCUUUUCUGUGUUCCCCUCUGUAAUCAGUUAGGUUGUAGCUUUCUCUGUUAAGUCAACUACCUCUACUCUUUUUUUUCCAACUCCCCCAAAUUGUUGUAAACCUUUAAUUAGCUAUUGUCUCCAUUCCUGUUUGCUUGAUCCUUGUUGAAUUAUUCCUUUUUUAUUCCUUCUCCAGCCUUUUGUCCCUGUCAGCACAUCAGAGCUGAACAUAAGCCAUCAGUCAAAAUACAGUCUCACCUCUCUUCUCUGCCCAGCGGCUUACUUUGUGACAGCACAGAGAACCCCACCCCCUUUCUUUGUGGAACCAGCAUGGUGGCUGAGACCCUGAACACAUAUCUUGAAAACUGGAGGGCCUUCAAGGCCCUCAUCACUGCUCAGUACAGCAGGGCUCAGGUCUGCAUGCUUUCCACACCACACCACUUCCACUUUGGCCAACCGCACCCCUGAAUUUAUCCGCAAAUUUCCUGCCAGCAAGGUUCCAGCAUUUGAGGGUGAUAAUGGAUUCUGUGUGUUUGAGAGCAAUGCCAUUGUGUGCUAUGUGAGCAAUGGGGAGCUUUGGGGAGGUACUCCAGAGGCAGCAGCCCAGGUGGCGCAGUGGGUGAGCUUUGCUGAUAGUGAUAUAAUGCCCCCAGCCGGCAACUGGGUGUUCCCCACCUUGGCCACCAUGCACCAUAACAGGCCACUAAGAAUGCAAAGGAAGAAGUGAGAUGAAUUCUGGGGCUGCUGGAUGCUCACUUGAAGAUGAGCAGUUUUCUGGUAGGUGAACAAGCGACACUGGCUGACAUCACAGUUGUCUGCACCCUGUUGUGGCUCUAUAAGCAGGUCCUAGAGCCUUCUUUCUGCCAGGCCUUUCCCAGUGCCAACUGCUGGUUCCUCACCUGCAUUAACUAACCCCAGUUCAGGCUGUCUUGGGGGAAGUGAAACUGUGUGAGAAGAUGUCCCAGUUUGAUGCUAAAAAGUUUGCAGAGAUCCAACCUAAAAAGGAAAGAGAAGGGCUCAUGGGAAGAGAAGCAGAAGCCCCAGGCUGAGCAGAAGGAGGAGAAAAAGGCAGCUGCCCCAGCUCCUGAUGAAUGAAUGUAAGCAGGCACUGCCUGCUGAGCCUAAGGCCAAGGAACCCUUUGCUCACCUGCCCAAGAGUACCUUAGUAUUGGAUGAAUUUAAGUGCAAGUACUCCAAUGCGGACACACUCUCCGUGGCACUGCCAUAUUUCUGGGAGCACUUUCACUUUGCUAAGGACAGCUGGUCCCUGUGGUACUCAGAGUAUCCCUUCCCUGAAGAACUCACUCAGACCUUCAUGAGCUGCAAUCUCAUCACUGGAAUGUUCCAGCGACUAGACAAACAGGAAGAAUGCCUUCACCAGUGUCAUCCUCUUUCGAACCAACAACAGCAGCUCCAUUUCUGGAGUCUGAGUCUUCCGAGGCCAGGAGCUUGCCUUUCCGCUGAGUCCAGGUUGGCAGGCGCACUACGAGUCAUACACGUGGCGGAAACUGGAUCCUGGCAGCGAGGAGACCCAGAUGCUGGUUCAAGAGUACUUUUCCUGGGAGGGGGCCUUUCAGCAUGUGGGCAAAGCCUUCAGUCAGGGCAAGAUAUUCAAGUGAAUGUCUUUUGCCAUCACCUAGCUGCCUGCACCUGCUCUUCAGGGAGAUGGUGGUCAUUAAAGAAAACUGAACAUUGGGGGGAAAAAAAGACAGUCUCAGCUGAGUGUGGUGACUCAUAGCUGUAAUGCCAGCACUUUGGAAGGCUGAGGCAGGGGGAUCACCUGAGGUCAUGAGUGCAACACCAGCCUGACCAACAUGGUAAAACCUCAUCUCUACUAAAAAUACAAUUAACCAGGUGUGGUGGCACAUGCUUGUAAUCCCAGCUACUUGGGAGGCUGAGGCAGGAGAAUCACUUGAACCUGGGAGCCAGAGGUUUCAUUGAGCAGACAUCGGGCCAUUGCACUCCAGCCUGGGCAAUUGAGACUCUGUCUCAAAAAAAACAAAAAACAAACAAACAAACAAACACUCUUGCAUUAGGAAUAGAAAAAGAUAACUGAAAUGCAGUAGGUCCUGGUUGAUUUGGAAACACUUUGGUAAGAUGAAUACAGUAUGUUGUUUCUGUGGAAAAAUUCUGAUCCUUUGGAAAUGUGGGAUGUUGAAAAAAAAAGACUCAAGUCUCAAGGCAUUGCAGCAGGACAGAAGGGAGUAUCUCAGGAGAAAUGACUUCUGCAGCUGGGUCUCCUACCUUUACUUAUCCAGCGUAAAAUAUAAGGACAGGAAGAGAAAAAGCAGGACACACAGACUCAAAUGCCUACCAGAGACUAGUCAAUCAUAAGCCAGUUAUAAACUGCCAGAAAUAGGAUCAAAUGUUAUUUUAAUAAAAAUGUUUUAAUAUUAAAAGAAUACAAAUCAAGGGCCCGAAAUGUUUUCUUCAGUACCAAGCACAAAAUGACAAAUGAUGUAGUCAAUGGACUUAAUCUCUGUGGCUUUUUAAAGUCAGAUUUGCUUAAAUAAACAAAUCAAAUGUUAACGGGGCCAGGUGCAGUGGCUCAUACCUGUAAUCCCAGCACUUUGGGAAGCCGAGGCGGGUGGAUCACUUGAGUUAUGGAGUUCAAGACCAGCCUGGACAAUAAGGCAAAACCCCAUCUUUACUAAAAUAACAAAAAUUAGCCAGGUGGGGUGGUGUGUGCCUGUAGUCCCAGCUACUUGGGAGGCUGAAACAGGAGAAUCACUGAACUGGGGAGGCAGAGGCUGCAGUGAGCCGAGAUGGCACCACUGCACUCCAGCCUGGGCAACAGAGUGAGACUUUGUCUCAAAAAAAAAAAAAAAAAAUUAAUAUGGACCAUUACAGAGCCCUGAUAAGUAUAAUCAGUCUACAUUAAUUUUCCUUUUUUUUUUUUAGAUGGAGUUUCGCUCUUGUUACCCGGGCUGGAGUGCAAUGGUGCGAUCUCGGCUCACCACAACCUCCGCCUCCUGAGUUCAGAUAAUUCUCCUGCCUCAGCCUCCUGUGUAGCUGGGAUUACAGGUACGCACCACCAUGCCCAGCUAAUUUUUUGUAUUUUUUUUAGUAGAGACGGGUUUCACCAUGUUGACCAGGAUGGUCUCGAUCUCUUGGACCUCGUGAUCCACCCGCCUCAGCUUCCCAAAGUUCUGGGAUUACAGGCGUGAGCCACCGCACCCGGCCUACAUUAAUUUUCUAAACUUACCUCCCUUUGCAAAACAAAUCAAUAAUUGAUAUUAUGCCUCAUGAAUACUAUUUUCAAAAGUUCUUUGAUCAGGCCAGGCAUGGUGGCUCAUGCCUGUAAUCCCGGCACUUUGGGAGGCUGAGGCAGGUGGAUCACCUGAGAUUGGGAGUUUAAGACCAGCCCGACCAACAGGGAGAAACCCUGCCUCUGCUAAAAAUACAAAAUUAACUGGGCAUGGUGGUACAUGCCUGCAUCCUAGCUACUCAGGAGGCUGAGGCAGUAGAAUGGCUUGAACCCAGGAGACAUAGGUUGUAGUGAGCCAAGAUCGUGCCACUGCACUCCAGCCUGGGCAACAAGAGUGAACUCCAUCUCAAAAAAAAAAAAAAAAGAGUUCUUUGGUAAAAUCAAAAUUAUUAAUAUCUCAAUGGUUGUGUUGGAUGAUUUUUAUUUUUUGUGUUUUAGUCACUUGUUAGAUUCACAUACAACAAAUUGUUUUUUCAUUUAACUUGUAAGUUCUUGAUCUUAGCUUAAUUAGGCUGAGCAAAAGAUUUGCUAGCCAGUUUAAUAUUUAAUACUUGAAAAUUCUACUUCUGUUAAGAACCCACAAUUUCUGCUGCACUUAACAGUCCGACCUGUAAAAAUGCAGCCUCUAUAAGAGCCUUGAAACCCGGGCAAUUUCAUCACCUAAUGCAUUCCACAGAAGCACUAUUCAUUUAGCUGAAUUAAAAACAAAGCUUAAUGUUGCUUUUCAUUAUGUCUUUUAGUAAGAUUUGGUAUUUUAUAUUUAUACAUGCAUUGCUUUUACUUUAAAAAUUAAUUUUUUAAAAAAAGCAGGAAACUAACAAAUAUAUAAAAAUGUUCUUCACCUCCACAGGGAAAUAUGUUUAAAUCCAUUUUCUUGAAACAUGCCCUUUUGGUAUAGCUAUUGUUCUCUCCCUUUUGAUUUAAAAAAAAAUAGUCAUAAAAAAAUGUUCACUUUUCUCUUUGGGUUCUACCAUACCUGCAUCCAGGUGUGUUCCAUUCCUAUCCUUAAUGCUGUGGAGUUUGGGCACUUCCUCCCGUGCUUUGCGAAAGUCAUGAUUGUUGAUGAUCAGACAAUAUCCCCGAGGUUUACUUUUCAUUUGGUAAACUUUGUCUGAAGUCUGGAAAACAAAAACCCAUUCAAGAGCUGACUCUGUGGGUCAAACACUGCAGAUGAAAACAAACAACUCCCUAAUAAGAGGUUAGCUUACUAACAAGCCAGCGUACUUACUAGCUUACUAGUAAACCAGAUGAAGAAGCAAGUUUGCUUUCCAUUGCUCCACUGCAACCUGGGGUCGUUUCCUUGAAGAACUAGUUCCUACCUAUUUCCUUCACACAGUAGUACCCCUCAGACUUCUGCCCCAUAGUUGUAAAGUCAGUGUCCCAACACCUGGGCCUCCUGAGCACUUUGCACACAUAUUAAUAUUGUUGUCAUCAUAUUGUAUUAUUGUGUGUUCUCAUUUCUGCUUCCCAUACUAUACAGAAGACUCCUUGAAGUCAAUAACUUCUGUGCCAGGCACCAUGGAGUAUUAACUUGUGAGAGCUCAAUCAGGAGUUACUGAAGGAAUGUGUCUUUGGGCUGCCCCCACACCAUGACCUUGUGAUUCUCUUGCCUGUCUACUGAACUCAUCUGUGCUUCCUGGCUAACAGCUGAGGGUCUCCCAUUCAUGCAUUGCACAGUGUGUUCCCAGGAUUUUAAAGCUGAUGGCUUAACCAAGCUCUCAGGACCAUGGUGGCUGCUGGGGAGAGAUGGGCUGCUCCGGCAGGUCCAGGCUACACUGUAGGUUAUAAUAUCCAAACUGUAGUACCUGAUAGUAUCUGCCAGGGAUGGCCCUGCGUCCUACUCAUUCUCCUAGGGCUGUUUCAGUGCUGAAAUACUCAGCGUUUAGUUGGAGGUCUGCAUAGCCCUCUGAGGUAGAGAAAAGGGCUCCAGGCUAGGAAGCCCAGUUCCUGGUUCUACUUCACUUUAUGACUUUGGGCAAGUAACCUGAUAUCUUAGUAUGUUAACUCUAAGAUAUUAAAUAUUUGAUUAAGUUUGCACCAA